rnacentral:rRNA from 1 species
AGUUUGAUCAUGGCUCAGAACGAACGCUGGCGGCGUGGAUAAGACAUGCAAGUCGAACGGGACAACAUCUGUAGCAAUACAGGUGUUGUUUAGUGGCGAACGGGUGCGUAACACGUGGGCAAUCUGCCGAGAAGUGGGGGAUAGCUCGCCGAAAGGCGAAUUAAUACCGCAUGUGAUCAGAGAGGACAUCCUCUCGAACUCAAAGCCGGGGCAACCUGGCGCUUUUUGAUGAGCCCGCGGCCUAUCAGCUAGUUGGUGAGGUAACGGCUCACCAAGGCAUUGACGGGUAGCUGGUCUGAGAGGACGACCAGCCACACUGGAACUGAGACACGGUCCAGACACCUACGGGUGGCAGCAGUCGAGAAUUUUUCACAAUGGGGGCAACCCUGAUGGAGCGACGCCGCGUGGAGGAUGAAUGCUUUCGGGUUGUAAACUCCUGUCAUUUGGGAACAAGGUGCAUCGAUUAACUGUCGAUGCGUUGAUAGUACCAGAAGAGGAAGAGACGGCUAACUCUGUGCCAGCAGCCGCGGUAAUACAGAGGUCUCAAGCGUUGUUCGGAUUCAUUGGGCGUAAAGGGUGCGUAGGUGGCGCCGUAAGUCAGGUGUGAAAUUUCGGAGCUCAACUCCGAAACUGCAUUUGAUACUGCGGUGCUUGA